AGGGCGCACGGUGGAUGCCUUGGCACUAGAAGCCGAUGAAGGACGUGACUAACGACGAAAUGCUUUGGGGAGCUGUAAGUGAGCAAUGAUCCAGAGAUGUCCGAAUGGGGGAACCCGGCAGGUAAUGCCUGUCACUCAUUACUGUUAAGGUAAUGUAGAGGAAGACGCAGUGAACUGAAACAUCUAAGUAGCUGCAGGAAGAGAAAGCAAAAGCGAUUGCCUUAGUAGCGGCGAGCGAAACGGCAAGAGGGCAAACCGAAGAGUUUACUCUUCGGGGUUGUAGGACUGCAACGUGGACUUAAAGAUUAUAGAAGAACUACCUGGGAAGGUAGGCCAAAGAGAGUAAUAGCCUCGUAUUCGAAAUAGUCUUUAUACCUAGCAGUAUCCUGAGUACGGCGAGACACGAGAAAUCUCGUCGGAAUCUGGGAGGACCAUCUCCCAACCCUAAAUACUCUCUAGUGACCGAUAGUGAACCAGUACCGUGAGGGAAAGGUGAAAAGCACCCCGGGAGGGGAGUGAAAUAGAACCUGAAACCGUGUGCCUACAACAAGUUCGAGCCCGUUAAUGGGUGAGAGCGUGCCUUUUGUAGAAUGAACCGGCGAGUUACGAUAUGAUGCGAGGUUAAGUUGAAGAGACGGAGCCGUAGGGAAACCGAGUCUUAAUAGGGCGCAUUAGUAUCAUGUCGUAGACCCGAAACCAUGUGACCUACCCAUGAGCAGGUUGAAGGUGAGGUAAAACUCACUGGAGGACCGAACCAGGGCACGUUGAAAAGUGCUUGGAUGACUUGUGGGUAGCGGAGAAAUUCCAAACGAACUUGGAGAUAGCUGGUUCUCUCCGAAAUAGCUUUAGGGCUAGCGUCGAUGUUAAGUCUCUUGGAGGUAGAGCACUGUUUGGGUGAGGGGUCCAUCCCGGAUUACCAAUCUCAGAUAAACUCCGAAUGCCAACGAGAUAUAAUCGGCAGUCAGACUGCGAGUGCUAAGAUCCGUAGUCGAAAGGGAAACAGCCCAGACCACCAGCUAAGGUCCCAAAAUAUAUGUUAAGUGGAAAAGGAUGUGGGGUUGCACAGACAACUAGGAUGUUAGCUUAGAAGCAGCUAUUCAUUCAAAGAGUGCGUAAUAGCUCACUAGUCGAGUGACCCUGCGCCGAAAAUGUACCGGGGCUAAAACAUAUUACCGAAGCUGUGGAUACCUUUAUAGGUAUGGUAGGAGAGCGUUCUAUGUGCGAAGAAGGUGUACCGUGAGGAGUGCUGGAGCGCAUAGAAGUGAGAAUGCCGGUAUGAGUAGCGAAAGACAGGUGAGAAUCCUGUCCACCGUAAGACUAAGGUUUCCAGGGGAAGGCUCGUCCGCCCUGGGUUAGUCGGGACCUAAGGAGAGACCGAAAGGUGUAUCCGAUGGACAACAGGUUGAUAUUCCUGUACUAGAGUAUAUAGUGAUGGAGGGACGCAGUAGGCUAACUAAACCAGACGAUUGGAAGUGUCUGGCCAAGCAGUGAGGUGUGAUAUGAGUCAAAUGCUUAUAUCUCUAACAUUGAGCUGUGAUGGGGAGCGAAGUUUAGUAGCGAAGUUAGUGAUGUCACACUGCCGAGAAAAGCUUCUAGCGUUAAUUAUACUCUACCCGUACCGCAAACCGACACAGGUAGUCGAGGCGAGUAGCCUCAGGUGAGCGAGAGAACUCUCGUUAAGGAACUCGGCAAAAUGGCCCCGUAACUUCGGGAGAAGGGGCGCUGACUUAUGGUCAGCCGCAGUGAAUAGGCCCAAGCAACUGUUUAUCAAAAACACAGCUCUCUGCUAAAUCGUAAGAUGAUGUAUAGGGGGUGACGCCUGCCCGGUGCUGGAAGGUUAAGAGGAGUGCUUAGCAAUAGCGAAGGUAUGAAUUGAAGCCCCAGUAAACGGCGGCCGUAACUAUAACGGUCCUAAGGUAGCGAAAUUCCUUGUCGGGUAAGUUCCGACCCGCACGAAAGGCGUAAUGAUUUGGGCACUGUCUCAACGAGAGACUCGGUGAAAUUUUAGUACCUGUGAAGAUGCAGGUUACCCGCGACAGGACGGAAAGACCCCAUGGAGCUUUACUGCAGUUUGAUAUUGAGUAUCUGUACCACAUGUACAGGAUAGGUAGGAGCCUAUGACCUCGGGACGCCAGUUUCGAGUGAGGCGUUGUUGGGAUACUACCCUUGUGUUAUGGCUACUCUAACCCAGAUAGGUUAUCCCUAUCGGAGACAGUGUCUGACGGGCAGUUUGACUGGGGCGGUCGCCUCCUAAAAGGUAACGGAGGCGCCCAAAGGU
rnacentral:rRNA from 1 species